rnacentral:rRNA from 1 species
GGUGGGGUAGUGGCCUACCAAGGCGACGACGGGUAGCCGGCCUGAGAGGGCGACCGGCCACACUGGGACUGAGACACGGCCCAGACUCCUACGGGAGGCAGCAGUGGGGAAUAUUGCGCAAUGGGCGAAAGCCUGACGCAGCGACGCCGCGUGAGGGAUGACGGCCUUCGGGUUGUAAACCUCUUUCAGCAGGGACGAAGCGCGAGUGACGGUACCUGCAGAAGAAGCACCGGCUAACUACGUGCCAGCAGCCGCGGUAAUACGUAGGGUGCGAGCGUUGUCCGGAAUUAUUGGGCGUAAAGAGCUCGUAGGCGGUUUGUCGCGUCGACUGUGAAAACCUACAGCUUAACUGUGGGCUUGCAGUCGAUACGGGCAGACUUGAGUUCGGUAGGGGAGACUGGAAUUCCUGGUGUAGCGGUGAAAUGCGCAGAUAUCAGGAGGAACACCGGUGGCGAAGGCGGGUCUCUGGGCCGAUACUGACGCUGAGGAGCGAAAGCGUGGGGAGCGAACAGGAUUAGAUACCCUGGUAGUCCACGCCGUAAACGGUGGGAACUAGGUGUGGGGGGCUUCCACGUCCUCCGUGCCGUAGCUAACGCAUUAAGUUCCCCGCCUGGGGAGUACGG